AGAGAGCCCCCUCCCCUUCUCUCCUUCUGCAUCUCAGUUGCCUCUUUUGUUUAAAGACCCUUCUGCAAAGCUCAUGUAACCAUCUCCUGAUAAGUUGCUAACCGAGUGUAUCAACAUCCUGCCUUUCUGUCUCAUGCUGGGCCAACAGGACCAAAUAAAAAAGAAGUUGAACCACAACGCCGAGGAAGACCACGGCCUUCAUCUUCACGAGCACCAGAGGGACAGAGACGACCCCCUAGCAACAGUUGCAGAAUAUACCAGGAUGUGCUGCGUAAUCCCAGAAUUACCAAGAUAUAAAAAGGGACCCUGGCGGGGGUGAGGUGCGCGCCGUUGGUGGAAGUCGAGACUCCCCGGCCUGCCCAGCGCUGUUUGCUUGCUGUUGCUUACUCAAUAAAUUCCUUUCUAUUCUUAAUGCAAUGCUCUCUGAAAAUUAAUUAAGGGGGUGACUUAUAACAAAUUUGGUGCCGUGACUCGGAUGAAGGCAAUCUGAUUGAAAGACCUUCGGAGGGGGCGCCCCGCUGAUUUCAGCGGCCUUCACUAGGAUUACUUUCAUUCAAAUCCUUCACCGACGAACCCUAAAUUCAGCAGCAAGCAAAUAAAGCCGGCAACCCCUAGUAAUCUUUGUGCAUGAAGACCGAACGAAGACUCAGGAGUGAAAACGGCUGUUCGAACUGCGGAGAAAGGAUGGACGCAUGCCAGCCGUGUGAAAGGACCAAUCCGGGAAGGUAAAUGGGAGGCAGCUCCAGGCCCUGACGACUUGCAGCUGACACUAAGACGGACUCGAUAAGUAUUGUGUAUUAUCUGUGUAUCGUGGGAAGGGGAGGAGGCCCUGUUUCAAAGGCUCCCUAGUAGGUUCCCCUGAAGAACACUGCUGCUGCCAAGAAGAACCGAUACCUUGUAGUUCGCUGCAACCGAACUGACAAGCGAGGCUGAGAAGUGAAAACGGUGGGGGACUGAGGGGCCGACAAUUUAGAUGGGCUCCGACCACCUCCUACGAUACAUGGGAGUCAGUAUCAUCCUUUUGGUCAGCUAUGGGUCUGCGCAUCCCCAUCAGCCUUUUAAAUGGAGCUUGAUCAGACGGAAGGAUCAAUUCGUCAUCCAGCAAACAACGACAGCGGGUGCCCCCAGUUUCUGCAUCACAUUAUGUGACCUGGUGUCAGUGCAGCCAUGCUUUAACCGAUCAGGAUUUUAUUUCUGCCCAAGUUCUAACCCGGGAAAGGGGUACUGUAAUUACCUGAACGCGUAUUAUUGUGCAUACUGGGGGUGUGAAACCAUUGUUACGGACUGGACACUCGGGGCUGGUCGGGAUAAAUUCUUACAAGUGGGAUAUGGGCCGCAAGGUUGUAACCAACAAGCAGGUCCCCGUUACAGGUGGUGAGGGCAUGGUAUAGGGUAUACAGGAACCUUCCACGGAAAUAAAGAAAUUUGCAAGGUUCUAUAUAUAAAUAUAACAAACCUGGAUUAUACUAGCUGGGUACUAGGAAAAAUGUGAGGUGUCAGAUUUUACGAACACAGAACAGAUAGGGGAGGACUCGUACUAAUAAAAAGGAGGAUGCUGAUAGGUCCCAGGCAGUAGGACCAAAUGAGGUAUUGUCAGAAAGUGUCCAGGGAAUCCAGCCUGCCAAAAAUACUACAGUGCCAACCCUCGGCAGCCCUACGAGCUCAGGUAAAACAGAGAACGAUAACAUAGCUGAGAAUAACAUAUGGGGGUGUCAUGAAUGCCAGCUACCAAUUAUUAAACAAAACAAACCCAAAUGUAACAAAACACUGUUGAUUAUGCUUUAGUAUAAGGCCUUCAUAUUAUGAUGCUAUCAGGAAUCCUGGGGAGCCCUCCCGCACAAAUGAGAACAACCCUCUACAAUGCAGUAGGGGAAAAGACAUAAGGGUAACACUAACACAAGUCACUGGAGGUGGUAGGUGUGUGGGCACGGUUCCUAGUGGGGACUGUCACCUACGUAAUAUCAUGGAGAAUGGAAAACAAUCAGCCGAGUGGUUAAUCCCAGUCAACAACGCUAGGUGGGUUUGUUUGUGAGUGGGCGUAACUCCUUGUCUAUCACUAAAACUCUUUAAUGCGUCUCGUGAUUUCUGUAUACAGGUGAUAAUUAUACCAAGGAUUCUAUACCACCCUGAGGAUUGUAUGUACACCCAGACACAGUGGCAAGUCGUCAUCUGGAAAGACGGGAACCAUUCACAGCUCUAACUUCGGCUACCCUAAUAAUCCUGGGAGGAGCUGGAGUGGGGACUGGGGUAGCCUCAUUGGUUAAACAAAAUCAGGAAUUUACUUCCUUAUGCAUUGCUGUGGACGAGGACCUGACCCAAAUUGAACAAUCCAUCUCGGCCCUGGAAAAUCUAUCAGGUCACUUUCAGAGGUAGUGUUACAAAAUCGUAGGGGAUUAGAUUUGGUAUUUUUUUACAACAGGGCGGGCUGUGUGCAGCCCUGAAAGAGGAAUGCUGUGUGUAUGCUGAUCACACUGGAGUGGUAAAAGAUACAAUGGCAAGACCCAGGGAAGGGUUGAAAAAAAAAAAAAAAAAA